rnacentral:rRNA from 1 species
GGGCCCGCACAAGCGGUGGAGCAUGUGGUUUAAUUCGAUGAUACGCGAGGAACCUUACCAGGGCUUAAAUGUAGUCUGACAGGGGUGGAAACACCCCCUCCUUCGGGCAGAUUACAAGGUGCUGCAUGGUUGUCGUCAGCUCGUGCCGUGAGGUGUCAGGUUAAGUCCUAUAACGAGCGCAACCCCUGCCGUUAGUUGCCAGCAUGUAAUGGUGGGAACUCAUGGGAUACUGCCGGGGUCAACUCGGAGGAAGGUGGGGAUGACGUCAAAUCAUCAUGCCCCUUAUGUCUUGGGCUUCACGCAUGCUACAAUGGCCGGUACAGAGGGCUGCAAUACCGCAAGGUGGAGCGAAUCCCAAAAAGCCGGUCUCAGUUCGGAUUGAGGUCUGCAACUCGACCUCAUG